UUUGAGAAGCCUCCAUAUUGUUUUUAUGGUGGCUGCACCAGUUUACGUUCCCACAGCAAUGUACAAGAGUUCCCUUUUUAUCUACAUUCUCACCAGCACUUGUUAUUUCUUCCCUUUUUAAUAAUAGCAAUUCUAAUACAUGUGAGGUAAUAGAAUCAUUUUGUCAAGUUUCAUGAAAAAUCCUGCGUGGAUUUUGCUUAGAAAUGUAUUGAAUCUACCCUUGAAUUGAAAGGAAAUUGACAUCUUAUUAUUAUCAAAUCUUACUACGUCUAUGAACAUGGUAUGCCUCUCCAUUUAUUUAGAUUUUAUCUUUCGAAAAGUUGAAUUAUUUUUCACCCAGGUCUUCAACAUCUUUUUGGAAACCACUUUUAUAAGUCGCGUUUUUAAAAGUAUAUUUUUAACUGUGUGUUUCUGGUAUAGAAAUACAGUCAAUUCUUGUAUAAUGAUCUUAUUAUAUCCAGCUAUUGUUACAUAUUUUCAGCCAGUGGUUUGUAAUUUUUUUUUUUUUUGAUUACUGUGCAGCUAAUCAUAUCAAAUGCAAGCAGUAGCAUUUUCAUUUCUGCUCUUCCAAUCUUACGCUUUUAUUUCCUUGCACUUCUCACUUCAUUGGCUAGUACCUUCAAUUCAGUAUUGAAUUAACCUGUGAAGGUAGGCAUCCUUGACUUUUUCCCCUUGGUUUCCUAUUUAUUUUUUAUUCGUGAACAAGACUGCAUUAAUGCCUUACUGUUUAACACUACAUUUGCUGAUCACAUUUUCAUCAGAGAAAGCGUAAGACCUUACCUUGUUUUGUUAACUUUUCUCCAAUUUUUAUGACUAUGUUUUCUCCGUGUUACCAAUAACCAAAGCCUGAAACUCUCCUGGAAAAUUACCUUAUGUCAAGUGAUAUACUAUAAAUUAUUGAGUGAAUGGUGCUUUUAAAAAUGUAGUCACCUAAAAUUUCAAACUAAGAGGAUCAUUUGUAUGUACUAAGCAUUUUGGAUACUUCAGUGGAGACAAGUACCAUAGUUUGCAUUGACUUGAGAUUCCUUGAUAAGGUGGUGUGUACAUCAGCCUCUUAAAUUUUGAUUUGAACUGUGGAAUCAAUCCUUCAGUAGCAUUUUUCACAAUUUAAAAUGCCUGGUUUGAAUGGCUCACUUUUUUUCCCUUUGCUCAUGCAAUUUUUGUUAAGACUUGAACAGAUUCCUCCUAAUCCUGUGAGCAGCCUGCAGGAAGACAACUAUUAAAAGUAGAAAGCUAUUAAGCAGUCAGGGGUUUAUUAUGCUUUAGUGUUUUGUUUAAGUCUGUUCUUAAUUGGUUGAUUAAUGUACGUGAAGUCCUUUCCCCCCUCCAUCUCUACAGAUGGCAAAUGGUAGGUCCCAACUGUCAUUGUUCGAAAAAAAGGUUAUGGUUCAAAGUCAAAGAUUCCGCGAUACCACAAUAAUCAAUCAUAGGAACUUGUCUCAGAGUGCCCAGCCAGGCAAAAGUUAGGGAGAGUAGUAUUUAUUUGGAAUCCCUUAGGAGCAUCUUUUUUUUUUCUUUUCGUGUGUUCUUGAUUUUAUUUAGAAAAGAUUAUUUAAUUAAUAGAAAUGCCUCUGUGAAUUUAGUGUCAGGCAUUUAGAUAAGUAUGAAGAAGAUUGGUAAAUAAGUUUUCUGUUUAUUGAUUAUCAAAUAUUGCUGGAAUUUAGGCAUACAGUUUUAAAAUGGGUGUAACAGAGAAAAUAACAUUCUUACUAUAUUGAGAUUAACAGAACACUUUUAAAGGAACACCUUUUUACCAUUUUCAUGUGAAGAUGAUUUAUAAUGGUUAACUUCCUUUUUUUAGGAGGAAGAAUAGAAUUAUGUUCUGGUAUUGAUCCAUAAAGAGGAUUUGCAUUUUAUUCAUACUAUAAAAGUACCUUUAAUGGAUACAUUGUGGUAAUUGAAUCUAUACUGUGUAUCACUAUCAAAGUAUCUUUUUAAUUAUUUUAUGUUGCAUAAUUCAGUAACUAAAUUUAAGUCAUGGGGAAGGAGAUGACUGUAUUAUAUCUUCUAAGUAUAAUGUAUAGCCUUUAAUAUUCUUAAAGUGGACAGCAGUUAAGGACAUUUUUAGUUGAAUGCCAGAGAGAGAGAGAGAGAAAGAGAGAGAAAGAGAGAGAGAGAGAGGAGAUUCCAUUACAUUCUGCACAGUAUGAAACUAAGUCAAAGGAGUUUUGUUAAUUAAAUUCAAUUGCCAUCCAUUAGACCGGUGGAAUGAGUUGACUCUGCCAGGACGCUGACACAGCACAAGUAUGCAAUUUGGCUAAAUGGCCAUUUCUAAACCAUAGCGCACAUUUCUCUACUUGCUCACUUUUUUUUUUUUUUUUAAGUGAGAGGUUUUACUCUUGAAAAGUCAGAGAGUAACCAGUGCUUGCUGAAGGGUAAAGGUAUCAUUUUUAUGCCGUUUAUUGAGAAACAAUUAGCUUUUUGUCUUGGAGAUGUGUAGUUCACAUGGAGAGUUUGGGAGAAAAUGAUUCUUUAAAAAAGUAUGCCAUACCUGUAGGCAAGCAUAUUUUCAAACUGUACACGCACGUGUCAUGGAGACACAUGUGUGUUUUAAAAUUUAGUUGUCUUUUAAUCGAAAGCUUUUUAAAAGUCAUAAUUAUUCCUUGAAUUUUUAAAAGCAUCCUUGAAGUCGAGCUACAAUCUGAAUAUAUAUUUGGGGGAAGUUAUAAUAAUUGUGGGAAUUACAAAAAUGAAAUUUAGGUGGUGGGUAUGUACAUCUACAUUUUGGCAUAAGUCGCUGCUUUUAGAGGCUUUAUAUGUCAGACUGAUAAGUUUCUUACCAUGGUGAAAUGACAGGAAUACCACUCAGGCAUUGGCUGACACAUAAUUUUGACAGCCAGCAAGAUUGCAGUGUUGCUGAGUGCACAGAUUUCCACUUCCUGCCAAGAUUAAAAUUGGCAAAAACCAAAAAGGAUAUUAGGGAUUGUCACUUUAAGAAGAAAUAACAUGUUAAUGCUCUGCAUUUGCUCAAGAAAUACAAGGUUGAUCUCUUGAGCUGUAGUCUGUUGAAAUCUACAAGUUUGCAAUCAAUAGAAGAGUUUUAUUCAUGUGCACAUCAAAAAUUAAAUAAAGUAAAUCGAGGUUCCCUGACAUUUGUGAUAAUAAGGCUCAUUAUAGUUCUACUUAAUAGGACAUUAUUAUUUCUGUAUAAAGAGAAUUCCUCACCCAAGCUAUAAAAUAGGUUGCCCAACAGCUCCCAAAGAACAAAGGCCUACUUUAAGUUUAUGAAUCGGAAGACAGAAGGCCUUACUUCCUGAAUUUUCUUAUUUUUUCCUGUGUGAGCAGAUGGUUUUUCUUUUUAUACGUUGCCAGAACUUUCCUAUAACAAUAACUGUCGUUUAUUGAGAAACUACUAUGUUCUGGGUUCUGUACCCGGGCACUCAAACCUCAGACUUUUUUUUUUUUUUUUUUCUUAUUUAGUUUUUGUUUAAAUCUAGACAGAAAGAUGAGGAAAAAUCUAGACAGAAAAAUGUUGUGAAAGAGUCAGGCUCUGAAUUAUGCUUCUACUUUGCUAUUUACAGUAAGUACUUUUGAAACAGCUGUAGACGUUCAAAUGAAAGUAGCAAUGUGGAGUGGGAAAUGUGGGGGCAUUCAUUUGUGAAGACUUUGCAUUUCUCCAGCUUUAGAGCCAACAGAAAAGGAGAUUGUUGUGCAUUCUAUUAAAUACUGCCAGUAUGAUUAAUUUAAAGGGUUACAUUUUAUUGAACCCUGGUGUAGAUGUUCUUUGUCAACCCACAUUCACAGCUAGUUAGAGUGUGUGUAGCAUUUAUCAAAACUUUCUGGAGCCCCUCUCACCUCAUUAGCAUCUGAAUCUCUAUUCAGCAGUUAAUGUCCGUUACUGCUAGAGUGCUCAAUUCUUGUUUUCAAUAAGCCAGUUGUAAAAUGUCAGACUGUCACUUACAAUAUAAAAAACCAAAAAUGAUGGUAUUUGUAAAAAUGUUAUCACCUCAUAAAAACAAAUUGUAAAGACAUGAAAGUGAUCUUGCUAUACUGGGCUUUCAGAAGGGGGUUAGUACAGCUCCUUUAAAUACCAGUUGUGUAGAUUCCCACACUUUUCUACCAAUGGAGAGGUUUACACAAGCAUAAUUUAAGUUACAAUCACACUAAUUAACAUCUCAUUUGCAUAAAUUGUUGAAGUCAAAACAACAAAGAAUUGUCUAAGAAGCCUAAUCCUAUUUGUCCAAAAUAGAAAGAUUUAAAAAAAAAAAAAAAACCCAUGCUCUAAAAAUUGGCAGCUUGAGUAUGUCUUUAGUAUGUUGAGCCGUGCCAUUUAAAAAAAUAAAUGCUUUCUAUUUGCUUAAGAAUAUAUUUCUCUGUCCUUUUUAGAAUCUUCCAUAUUUAAUACACUUUUAAAAUGAAAAAGCUACACUUUGCUUUCUAAAUCACUAAUAAGUAGAGAUUAAAAUCAAGGUACAGUACCAUUUACCUGUGGUAGAGAGUAACGUGACUCAUUAGAUGCAUGGUGAAGCAUAUGUGUGCGUACGCACGUGUGUGUGUGUGUGUGUGUGCGCGCGCCGUGUGUAGGAAUUGGUAAAGUGUUCCUGUCUGAAUCCAUGUUCAGUUAAAAUUUUUUAGUGUAGGCUGGUCUCGUUCAGAGCGUCCAGCUGUUUUCAACGUCUUGUAUUUAUUUCCUUUUUGUUGUUGUGAGUGAGGACACGUUAAAGGUAGUUUUUACCCAUGUCUUCUACAUGUGUGAUAGCUCACAUCUCAGGUCAGAAAACUUUCUUUUUAGUGGCCACCCAAAUGCAGUUAGCCGCCUCGAGGGUGACUUAGUACAGUACACCGUCUUCUUCUUCUCUAAGACCCAUUUAAAAUUAGGGACAUGUUUGCAUACAGUGGACUAAUGAAGUUUUCAUACUGCCCCACAAGACUCUGCUCUCCUUUGUAGGUCUGACAUUUACUCAUUUCAUAUGCAGUUAUUGUUACUAGUGAGUUUGCUUUAACGACAUUGUGCAUCUAUGGAAAUAAAAUGUCACCAGCAGAGUUUAGGAUUUUUUAUUGUUAAUUUUUGUAGUCAUUUGGGGUUGAGGAAUUUAAAUUAUCCUGCUUGGUUAGUAUUUCCAAUGUCGUAUUAGCCCUGAAAUUGUGACAAGGUUAGGAAUAUGAUUAGAAUGAAAGUUUUACUUGAAGAUUGUCAGUCUGGAAAGCAUUUUAUUUGUUUGUGAUAUAGAGCGUAUCUUAAUUUAAUUGUGAUAGUCUUUAAAUCUGUUCUUUAAUUUGAUCUUACAAUGUAAAGUUUACAAAUUACUGUCUUAGAAAUAGUUAAUUUACAAAUACGUAUUGUCAACUGCACGUGAGCCAUUAUGCUAGGUUUGGUGAAGGAUGUAAUCUUAUACAGUGUCGCCUUGCUUGUAUGAAGCAUACAUUUUUCUUGGGCAUAUAAAAAUAAGUACGGGUGAGAACACGUUUUGUGGAAAUUCAGGAGAGAAUUUGUGAAGUAUUGGGACAGUCUAGAAAGCUUUUGGAUAAAAUGAAAUUUGAGUUAUGGAUUGAAGGAUUGUUUGGAUUUUUAGUGGGUGAGGAGGGGUGCUGCUAGAGACUAGUAGAAGACCUGGAGAGCAGGGCUGAGGCAUGAGGGAAGCUGUGGAAGCAGGAAUAUGCAGUUUUGCCCCAGGUGGGGUCAGCUGAGACGUUCGGUUAGGAGACGGGUUCCUGUAGGGCAGGACAUUGAGUGCCAGUUGAAAGAUUUAGACAAUAGAAAGUCAGGUAGGGUUUUUGAACAGGAGCAUAACGUGUUUGAGGAAGUGUUUUGGCAAGAGUAAUCAUGAGGCUGAAAUGCAGGGAGCCUUGUAAAAGACGACAGAGUAGAGUUAGGGGCAGUGAGUGGUAGAUCUUGUAGGUGUGUUGGCACAAGAUUAAAAAUAAUAGUGAUUUUCAUUUCCUAUGCCCUGAGCAAUAUAAUAAGCUAAAUACAUGAAAUGAAAGUGUGCUUUUGAAAAAUAGGUAGUGAUUUCUGAUGCUAAGUGGUGUUUAAAACCUUUUAAAAGAUAUAUUUCCAUAAAAUAAAUUUUAUUUCUUUUAAUUUUUAAUAGUGAUUAAUUCUGUGAUUUAGAAAGGUGUGUGUACAAAAAAAGAGAACAUUAUUUCCUUUCACCUUUCAGAGGAAAUUGAUUUCCAGAUUAUUUUCCCAUGUAUUUUUUUAAAAGUUGACUUUUAAAAUAACACAUUCGUGUUUCUUUUGAGUAUGGCCAGAUUACUUCAUUGCCAAUAUUUGAUCUUUAUUGGAAGGUGAGGGCAUGUCAGAGUUACUCAGGAGAACGUUCUGGACCUUUCUUCUUAUCUUUUAAAGGCUUAUAUUUGAUAAGGUUGGACAUGGUGUGUACAUGGUGACUUUUAUCAUUCUUCUUGUCACUUUUCUAUAUUUACUUUAUUCAUAGUAUGUAAUCUGAGAGUGCCUUCAGGAGACUAGGAAAGAUCUGGCCACAGACACCACAUUUUGGGUAUUUUAACAUAUUCAGGAGAAAAUUGGGUGUUGUAUUCAGACAGGAAGGUAGAUUGGCAUAGAUAGAAGUGCUUAUUUUCAAUAUUCAAGGAAUACAUACUAAUCCUCUACUGGAAAUAUGGUAACAUGUCAUGUUGAUGGAGAAACAUAAAAUCAAGAAGCUGUCCUUCCUUCCAGAUGCUCAUCGGUUGGUAGGAGAAGAGGCAAAACAUGUGAAGUGGUAUGCUUUUUUCUUUUUUUUUUUUAAUUUUUUAAAUGUUUAUUUAUUUUUGAGAGACAGAGAGAGACAGAGUGUGAGUGGGGGAGGGACAGAGAGAGAGAGAGAAAGACUCAGAAUCUGAAGAGGCUCCAGGCUCUGAGCCGUCAGCACAGAGCCCGACGCGGGGCUCGAACCACAAACUGCGAGAUCAUGACCUGAGCCGAAGUCGGACGCUUAACUGACUGAGCCACCCAGGUGCCGCUGGUAUGUUUUAUAGUAGAAUUCAAGGGACCCACAUGACUCAAGACAGGACAGUAUUGAUUCUGAGUUGUGGAGAAAGAGAAAUACUUCUGUGAAGGAGAUGACAUCAAAGCAGGGUCUUGGAGGUUGGCAGGAAAAUGAAGGGACCGAGCACGCAGAUGGGGGUUUAUGGCAUGUGUUCUGGAAAUGGCACAUGGCUCAGAUGAAGCACAGAGCGUGCAGUGUAUAUGAUGUCUUCACGUCUGCCCUUAUUUGUUCAGCAAACACCCGUCGCUUACCUUGUGCCAACCAUUGAGCUAGGCUACCUGUAAGGAACCCACCAGCUUCUUCAUGGACAGAGUUGAAAGGGUUUGUCCAGUUGCCUUUGCCCCUGAGAGAGAGAAGGUCCACAUUUGGUACCUUUGGCAUAUUAUCCCUUGGCAUAUUUAAAGUUUGGUUCAAGAGCAUAUUGAAAAUUUCACAUUCCUGGGGCACCUGGGUGGCUCAGGUGGAUAAGCAUCCGACUUCGGCUCAGGUCAUGAUCUCAUGCUCUGUGAGUUUGAACCCUGUGUCGGGCUCUGUGCUGACAGCUCAGAGCCUGGAGCCUGCUUUGGAUUCUGGGUCCCCCUCUCUCUCUGCCCCUCCCCUGCUCACACUCUGUUUCUCUCUCUCUCUCUCAAAAAUAAAUAAACGUUAAAAAAUAAAUAAAUGUUCACAUUCCCUUCACUAAAGCAUGAAACUUUCAAACCUAUAAAAAGAUGGUGAAGAUCAUUGUUCUCCCUGCUCCUUUCCUUUCUUCACUUGCAGCUGGAUUGUUCCUCCUUCCCUCCAAGGGUGAUCUUUGGAGUAUCUGCUGUAUCUUUAGUCCUUCCUUUAGUAUGAGGAAUCCCCUUCUUUUUCCCCCAAGAGAGUUUGGGUCUGAUGCUGAUUUUUUCUCAUUCUGGGACUGCCCAGUUAUAACAGAGUUCAGUGGUAUAAAUGUGAGGCCCAAAUUAGAGAUCCCAGAAUAAAGUCGGAGAAGAAUUCUUCAGUUAUCGAUAGAAUUGUCUUAUGGAUUUGAGCAAAGUCUUGUAUAUGGUGAAAAUGAGACCCUGAGUUAAUUAAAAUAACUUCACAGUACAUAUCUGUCCCUCCCAGUGCUGCUAUAAAUAAUUGCAAAGGUAAGGAUUCUUAGUAACUGCAAAUAUGCAGAAAACAUGGAUAUUAGAAAGUUUCGAUGACCUUAAUGAAGAAACAAAGUUGGCUCUGGAUCUUUGCCUAGCAGGAAUGAAGUUUUUUGAAUAUGAUAAACACUGUCAGUUGUUAAGGCAUCUUCUGAUAGGUGAAAAGUGGUUUUUCAAUGCAGUGCUGCCUGGCAUGCGUCUUCUCUAUGGUCUAUUAUCUUGUGGGAAUGACAUUCGUUAAGUUGGUAUCUGUGCGCAUCCCACCCAAAUAAAGAAUGUUUCAUCAGCAAAGUGAAUUGCCAUAUAGUCAUCAGACUCUAGAAAUAAAUUAUCAACCAUGACUGCAGUGGGUGAGGCUGUUUGUUUAUCAGAUCACUUGAGAACAGAGUAAAGUGAGUUUCAUAUUUUCCUGAGUCUUGAAUUCUCAUUUUAGACAUCUGUUCAGAAGCUUUCUAAGCCAUGGAGUAUUCUAAAUGAGCAUUUUGUUAAAUGGAUGGAGGAAGACUUAGUUUUCCAUUGUUAGGUGAAACCUAAUUAAAAAUUAAAUAAUGACCUUGUGUUGGCUUGUAAAUUUCUUAUUCCCUGCAUGUGUGAGUGUAUUUUGUUAGAACAUUCCAUUUUAAAGCAUGCUUUUUUUUUUUUUUUUUAAUGAUGAGAAAUACUUGAAAACUACCAUUUCCUUUUGGAAUUACAGUCGAGUAUCAGAGGAUAGUCUAUAGUUGAGAGUGGAGGGGUUUAGAAGGCGUUAGAAGCAUAUAGCUUUAUGAACCAUAUUUUCUGUGGAUAUAGCAGAAUUAGUUUAAUUGUUCUGUUUCACUCUCUCCAGCAUGAGUGCACUCAUCGUGGAAAUUAACAGAGGCACUGCUAUUUGUGUUAUAUCAGGAAUUCUUUAUAAACUUAAUAAAUGAAAGCUUUUUUCUUACAGGCCUGAUUCACUAGUGGAGUUCUGCUGAAAUAAUGUGGCUACCUUCCAUUAAUGUUAAUGGAGGUUAUGGAUAUAAUUCCCUCCAUAGUGAUGGAAGAACGAGCCCUAGAGAAAAGAAUGUUUGUAAUGAAUCACUGGGUUAUGAUACAGGAUUCACUUGGUCUCCCUAAUACUGUUUUUUUUUUCCUCCUGAAAGUUUAAGGUCUUAUAUUUAGUAACUAGUCUUUCUCUACCCUAAUUCUUUGUGGUCAAGUCUGUAAUAAUGUUAAGAACAUAGAAAAGCAAUAUGGAUUCAUGUGUAGGCAUGGUUUGGGGUUAUGUAAUGAUUCAGCACUACAUAGUUUUGUGUUUUCCUUUUACUUAAUAUUAUUUGGUGGACAUAACUUUAAUGUUUUAAGAGAUCAUCAUAUUCUUCACUAAUAAUAGUUGCUUUAAUAAUUCAUUGUCCUGACAGACUGCAGUUUAUCAGUUAGGUAUUAAAUCUCUCAAAUAUAUUUACUAAAUACCUACUGUGUAUAAGGUUCUAAGUUUAAUGCGUUUGACACAGUCCCUAUCUCAAAUUGCCUUUCAUCUUGUGAUAUAAGUAGAACCCAGUCUUUAGGCUUUUUCUCGUGGGCCAAGAUCAAGUGCGAAGAAUUUGGUGGGAGAUGGGUGUGUGUGUGUGUGUGUGUGUGUGUGUGUGUGUGUGUGUGUGUGUCUUUCUGUCUGUCUGUCUCGCAGGGACUGAAGAAAGGAAGGCCGUUGUGGUUGGUGGUGUGUUGGAGAGACUGGUCUAAAGAGAGAUAACUGAGUUCCUCCAGGGAGGAAACACAAGAUCUUACCACAAGAUCACAUAGCAAGUCAGUGGGGGUGAAGGUAGCGUUUGACUCCAGACUAUGCUGGUAGACUAUCACGUGAUUCAGGCACCAGAGCGUGAACGCCAAAGACUAGUGGAAGAAAUAAUUUCUAUAGGCAACCAAACACUUUGAUCUAGAGGAAAUUUCAGGACUCUCUGAGAAAGUGUAUAGCAUAUGAAAGAUACUAUAGGUAUUUUCUUCCUAUAAUAUAAGCAAAAAAUUAUUCAGGCUCAUUUUCAGAUAAAUUGUGAUCUUGAGUUGAAAGACAUAAUGUACCUAAACCCUUUUUACUGGAUGAUCUUUUCCCAUGAAAUUUCAAAUAUUUAUGUGUAUAAUUUGGUGAUGAUUUUUGCUAUUUAGGUAUUUUCCUCCCUAGUAACACAAAAUCUUGCUUACCCAACUCCCAAAGUCCAUCUCACUAGUAAGCUCCUCAGCCUCUGUUCUUGUGCCCAGUAAGUGCUCCUCGUUACCAGGUCCACAUAAUUAAUGCUUUAUCACAUGAGGUGAUUCAGUUACUCAGCAAAACAAAAUGAUGUACACUUUUAGAAAUAGCUCUAGAAAGUAAAUUUGAACCUAAAGUGUUCAGUUGAGAGGAAAUUUCUGUUUGUUCUUAAUUAAGAGAAACUGUAUGGAAAUGUAAGCUAAGGAUGCAUUAAUCAGAGAAGUUGGCAUUACACUGUGUUAUUCAUUUUUAUUUGGCAUAGAUUGCAUGGGUACUCAUUAAAUAAUUUGUAUGGCUGAAAUAACUCUAGUGAUAUUUCUUGCUAAAUUUUUGCAUCUGUUCAGACUAAAACUCAGGAAAGUUAAAAAAAAAAUUCAGUCCUUAGGUUUGAAAGUUUGACUCAUUUAUUAUAAGUGAAAAUCUUUAUUGUGGAAAUAUAUAUGCCUCAAAAUGUUUGCUUGCUUCAUUUUGGGGGAAGAAAUGUGUGAGAGUAGGUAAAUUGUUAAUGAAAAAUUAUUAAUCAAAUAGCAGAUUUAUAUCUGGUGCAUAGAUACUUAUGCUUAAUGCUCUUCAAUUUUAACAGCUUUGCCUCAGCCCAUCUUAUCUGUGACCUUAUCAACUUUGAUAUUAUUGUUUUUUUUUUUUUAACUUUGGUAUUGUUUUACAAACAAAUAGUGGAAGGAGAAAGUUUGCAUAUUUAGAAGUUUGGUAGUUGAUUCCCUUUGUGGGUAAAUGCACAUCUCAGGGGGAACCUGAUCUGUAUAGAUAGCCUAUUUGGAUCAAGGGCAAGGAAAAGGAAUUUCCUUUACCCAUUUAUAUUUUUUGGUUUAUAUAGGUCAAACUAGAUUUCUUGGACCUAAAUUUAUGUGGUGUACACAUGGCUGUAGGUUUGGUCUGGGCUCUGGAAUAUUUGUAAUUAUGUGCGAUGACAAGAUUGAAUUAACUUAAUUGUAGAGUUUUACACAGUGUUUGUACCAAAUCCUAAUAAAAUAAUAUGAAAUUCAAUGAGUAAUGCCAAGUGGGACAGUGCUCUACUCACAUAAGCUUACUAAACUUGAUAUAUUCUUAUGGCGCUUCUCCAGAAUGUAGAAGAAACACAUUUAUCUAGGUGAUUAGUAUUCUUUCUGUCUGCCAGAUUUAAGGAUUGUUUGGAAAUAUUGUUAGAAUCAAAAUCAACGUUUGUUGCUACACAGGGUUGGGCAUUCCAGGCAAACUCUGGUCGUUUUUAAUGGUCUUAUUCUUAUGUCCACUCAUUUUACGUCUGCCAUGACACUGAUGUUUUCAGUAACACAGAGCUGCUAUCAAAAGAGUGAUACACUUUUAAGUGAAGUGUUUGGGAAAGUGAUAAAGUCAUUUCUGGUCCCAUCUCAAAGGAUAUUAUUGAAAAUGUCUUUAAAAGUGAUCAGGGUAACACAUACUAGGCCCUCUCCGGUUCCGGUGUUUGAAGUUAACAAACUUCAAUGGGCUUGAAGUUCAAGCCCAUUUCAAGCGGAAAAGUGGCUCUCCCGCAAUUCCUCCUCCCCCUUUUUUGAACCACAGACAUUUUUAUUUUAUUUACUUAUUUAUUUUUAAAUUGAAGUAUAGUUGACAUACAAUACUGUAGUACCUUCUGAUGUGGUGAUUUGACAUAGUGAUUUGACAAUUAUGUUCGUUACAAAAUGCUCACACAGACUACUCUUUAAAUACUGUAGCUGGUUCUAAAUUUAAGGAAAAAUGAAAAUAUUGGGAAAUAAUAGUCAAAAUAGUUCAAAAGAAGUUCAAAAUAGUCAAAAUAGUCAAAAGAAGUUCAGGACAGAAGAUGCUUUUAUGGUUGGUAACUGCCCAAAUCAGAUUUAACUUGAACAUGGCAAUGCUUUGCAUUUUAUGAUGGCUAAUUCGUGCCAUCUAUUAGCCAUAAUGCCAGCUCCUGUUUUUUUUUUGUUUUUUUUUUUUUUUAAAUCUCAAAUACAUUUACAGUAAAUAUAUUAACAAAUUGUGAGGUCUUAGGUUGACCUCCUGGACAUUAGGAAAUCAAAUUUAAAGCAUUGCAUUGUCUGUUACUCAAUGGAGUGGACUGAGUACAGCGUGUGACUUGUGUUCUGCCGAUGAUGCAAUAAGCUAAUAUUGUAGUGUGAGUUAAGGUUGAUUAGAUGAUCAUCUUUAACUCUGUUUUCUCCAGGGGGUUUUGAACGCUCAUGUUUUCAGGUGAUAGUCUAUGCCCCUAUUGUAUUGCUCUUUUAAAAAAAGUGUUCUCUUUUGGGCAAGAAAACAUAGGCUCUCUUCGGAUUCUGGAUGGAAAUUAGCAACCUUAUGCUCAGAAUGUAAAAGUAUACUGUGUUAUCAUAAACUGACUCUCUUCCAAAAAAAAAAAAAAAAAUUCUAGGGAGUAAAAUACAUGCGCAAGAUACCAGAAAUUGAUUUACAGAGUUAUAGCUGUUUUUUUUUUUUUUAACUUUCUUAAAAGUUUUUGUCCUGGAAUUAAUUUUCAGUGAAAACUAAGACAUUUUUCUUCUCAUCUGGAAUCAGUUUUUACCUCAUUAGCAGGAAAUGGUGAAUAUACAUUAAGCACAAAUAAAGUUCACUUUAUGAGGCAAAGAAUUUGCACUCGGUAAGUAGAUGUGUACAAAUGAAAGACCCUUUCUGCUGUCCUUAAAGAGGAUUGUGAAGGAAAUUUUAACAGCAGAUGCCAUCAUUCAGGUAACUUCCACUGGUGUGAUUCCCGCUGCCCUCCCUCCCCCCACAAUAAAUCCAAAGAAUCCAGGAGAAUUUUUCUCCCAACCUAUUGGGAAGUAUUUCGAUGCAGCCUUUAGUAUAUUGGUAAAAUUAAGUGUUCAUUAGCUGGGCCUUGGUGGUGAUAUCAUGGGGGUAUGGGGUAGAACUCUCUUUUCCAUUUUCUUUUGAUCUUAAAGUUACAUAACUGUGCGUUCAGCUUAACUUGUGUUACUGCAGUAGGAAGAUGUGUAGGUGGAAAGAUAUUCUAAAGGGAGGCUAGAGCCACCUUCCCUGACAAGAAAAAAUUCAAGGGAACAAAUAAAUAAAAAUACACUCAAAGAAUCAUAGAAUGUUAUAGCUGUAAGGGACCUUAGGUUUCAUUUAACCGAAAUUUUAGCUUCAAGAUCCUAGAAAAAAAAAAAAUUCUGUGAUUGUGAAUGGCAUUUUUCCAUAUUUGAAAGUUAAAUUUACUAAUGUGUCUGCUUAUUUACCCAUGAUAUAUUUGUGGCUCUUUUUUUUAUAUUACCAGUGGGAACAUAUUCUGUAUUAUAGUAUCUUUUUAUUUGUCUGGAUGCUUGUAUAUUCCUGUUUGUCUAUUAAUGCUCUCACACGUGCAAACAUACAAGAGAAAAUGGCAAUCCAGUAUUAAACAAUGGGGAAAAAGUUAUAGUGCAAUAAGACUGGAUUAGUCAUGCUUUUCACAGUCAAGUUGCCAUAAGGGUCAUUUUUUAAAGUUUUAGACUAACUCACAUGUAUCCCAGAGUUUAUACAGGGCUGUGGAGUAUCUCUUUAGACAUACAGUCUUGCUGCUGUUUUGUCCUGACGUAUAAAAUGGAUAUCAUUGAACUGGCAUCUAGAAAGCAUUGGUAGCACUACAGAUUUUAUCACUCAUUCCAAACAGGAGUUGCAAAACACCUUUCUUUAAAUAUUUUCUCUUCAUGGUGCAACUGGGGAGGGCCAAAUUCCAGCCUUAAAUAAAGUUUCAACCUGACUAGUUGAUAGAAAUGGCAGAGUAAUAGAACUUGUGGUCAAGAAGCUGAUACCUGGAUUGUGUCAAGGAUUAGACUGUAUGUUUGCAACCCUUCCAGAUGGGCUCCAUGUUUCUACUCUAUACGCACAUCCUUGUAGCCGUAAGGAAACGGAGAGAGAGUUCUACCUUUAGUUUCUUCUUCUAGAGAUACUCCGCAUGGGACUUCUAGACCCUAAUCAGUAUUCUUUUGUUGAUGAUAAUCUACUUAAAUGAUAUCCUAUCAUCAGAAUCCCUUAAUGGAAUUAUCUUUGCAUUUUGCACUGUUCUUCCAUCUUGCUUUCUAAAAGCUAGAAGUGUCCUUCCCCCCCCCCCCCCCCCCCCCCCCCGCCCCAUCAUUUUCCUAAUGGAGAUGACAUAUAAAUAUGCCAAGCAGAAUCCAUAAUCAUGGCAGGAAACCUACACAGUAGGGCUGGUUUUGAUACAUAGUCCACCCUACUGGCAAGUACUUUUUAGGCAGCUUCAUAUAAUAACACAUAGGGUACAAAAAGAGACCUCUGCUGUGAUUUCUUUGGUUUAUGUAUUUCACAUUGAAAUUGUAGGUUUUUUUGGUUGGAAUUUAUUUGAGAUGAUUAAAGACAUUUUGCAGAGUACUCAAAUAUAGGUGAAAGAAUUUCAAGUUUGCUCAUUUUGGCAUAAUUUUAAAACAAAAGUGUUACUGUUGGAUCUGGGCAUGUGAUGGGUGAAUGAGUGUUUCAAUGAAAUGACAUAAGUCUGUAUAAUUUGGAGGGUAAUGAUGCCUUAGAACGAGAAUAAAUCUGGAGCGAUGGAAAGGCUCCAUAUUCUAGAUGAAUGCAUGCUUCCUCCUAUGAGUCUGAAAAAUAAAAUUAAAUCUUUAUUUAUACGAAUCCACUGGGGGAAAAAAGCUACAUGGACUGGGUUUAUGAUAUAUUUCAGAACAGGAAUAUUAGCCUUAACCUCUUUCCUCACAUUGCAUAUGAUAUUUAAUCCAUCAUCUUUGUUUUAAACAAACAAUACACAAGCUGUUGCUGGCAUUGGUAUAAAGCUGAUGGUCCAUCUGGAGAGCAGGAAUAUAGAUCAGGAGAAUAAGAGAAUUGAAAUUGGGUGCAAGGGCAGAUUUGCAUGUGUAAAACCUCUCUGUUUACUAGCUUUUUAUCAAAUUGUUUAAUACGAGGCAAAACAGAAUCCUUUUUCUUGAAUCUGAGAACCUUAUUGGAGGAAAAGUUGCUGAAGGAAGAAUAAUUGGGUUUUGAGGGACAAUGAAAUUAUAGCCAUUAAUAUUUUCUCGUUUAGCAUGGGCGAGUCCAUGUGGAAGAAUUGAGAACACUGCUGGGGAUUGGAUUCUUGUUCUAGCCAUGUGAUCUUUGGCCAGUCAUUUUAGCUUCUUGACCUUCAGUGUCCUUUGGUCCAAGUUAACUCAGCAACCACUUCUUGAGGCGCCAUGAGAAUUUUCUCGGACCCAACCAUUCUGCUAGGCAUUAUGGAUCCGUGGCUGAAUAAGACUGAGCCCUACUCUCAAGAGGCUUAAGGUCUUGCAAUGGAGACAGACAUUACAACUGAAUAAUGUAGUGAGUGUUAUAUAGGAGACACUGGCUCACAAAGGAAGGAAACAUUCUGUCUGGAAUAGACAGGAAGAUUUGUAUUACAAAUCUCUUAUAAGGAUUUUCUAUUUUGACCAGCAGAGGAGCAGACAUUCCAGGUAUGCGAAUAGUGAGAGGUUCAGAACAAAUUAUCAACAAAGUUCUUUCCAGUUCCACAUUUGCAGUGUUAUCAAUGUAAAAUUCUUUGAAUAGCUUUCCACUGAUGAGUUAUUCGCUGAAGAGUGUUUAUUGUCAUGCUCGAAAGAAAAUAAUAAUGAAAGAAACAAUGAUUUCCUUUAGUUAUAAAACUGGGGCUGGAUGGGAGGAGGCCGCCAGUAUUUCUCUUUAUAAUUAUUGCCCUGUUUGAAAAAUCAGCUCGCAUCUAGGGUGGCAAACACUGUGUAGAGGCCUUCCUUCUUCCUUCUCGGGAGCAGCAGUGGAUGGAACCACUGUAACCUGGCCUCCCGCCAUGAGAGGAGGGAAUCCAGGUGGCCAUGUUCAAAUGUGUCUGCGUGCAGCAAGGCUUCUGAAAUGACAGGAGAGCCCGGCGGCUUCCAAAGCAGCUGUGACUCUGGAUUGCGCCCACCAUCCCUGCUUCUCACCACAAGAGGAGUGAAUCUCUGCUGCCUUAGGAGGCAUGGAGCCUGGGACUUUAAUUCCUUUUUUAAUUUUUCAUUUUAUUUUUAAAACGCUUGAGUGGUGGAUGAUGAUUUCUUGACAAAAGAGAGAUUUCCCCCCUUUUAAAAUUAUUUUAACUCAGGCUCUUGUGUAAACUCAUGGGCUGGGAAUAAGACCAGAAUACCUUCUUUUUGUUGUUGUUUACGAACGGCCAAUAAUUUAUUCACAUGUGACAUUUGAGCUGGCAUUUUUUUCCUCCUAAGAUGACAGUAGCUUCCGCUGUUGUAUCCUAAAGCAAACUCAGAGUAGCCCUUUGCUUUUGUCCCCGUCGGUAGUUAUAUUUUGCCCUCUUGCCUUUUUCGUUUAGACCUUAUGGUAUUUCCUAACCCUCAGACUGUUUUGAAAGGCUUUGAUUAAAAUAUGCUGAUAAAAGAAUUCGAUAACCAAGUUAGGAACGACAAGGCUAUCUAGAGAAGACCGAAUGAUUUGGCAGCCUAACAAAUUCUAUUCAGAGCACACAAAGAGAUUCUGGAACGUUUUAUAGGGACUCGUGUUUAGGGAAUGGUAUGAACUCAGGUUACCUGCCGAAUAUGGUGUCAUAUGGAAACAUUUAAGAGCUUAUGGAAAAUUCUUUGAAAUAAAGUGGAAUGAACUAGCAAGCAUAUAAUACCUAAGAAGAAAAAUAAGAGCAUUCAUUCUGAUUUUUAGGUGGCUGCUUAAGGAAGGGAGGUGGAUGGAAGUAAAUCAUUCCGACUUUGUAUGCAUAACGUAGAAGAGCUAUCACCUAAGAAUAGUUUUGCUAACCAAACCCUAGACUUAAAAGGAUAUUAAAGGCCAUCAUGUCUAACCGCCUUCCUCUGUAGGAACCUCCUAGGUGUUAUCCCCAACAGCCUUUACUUAAAUACUUCCAGAAAAAAACUGAGGGACUGGGGGAGUAGGGACGAAGGUUGGCAGGAACUUCUGUUGAAUACCUAAUAUCUGCAAGAUACUGGGGUGCACACUUUCUCACUGUCUCAUUUGACUUACGUGUGGGUUUAUUACCUCCAGAUUACAGGUGAGGGAACUAAGUUAUUUACGAGUAGGGAAGCUUGCCUCAGCUCCUGUGUCUAGAUUAAGGCAAAACUGAAAUUAGAGCCUCGUUCCAUCUUCUUGUACUACACUCAGGUUGGAGGGAGAGCUCCUUCCUCAUGAGGCACUCUCUUCUGUCUUAGUAAUAUACGUUGUUUGAAAUGCUUUCUUUUAUUUUGCUGAAAUCUGUCUCUCAUUAACAUCUCUCCUUGGUCCCGAUUCCACCCAGGAACGACACAGAGUUGAUGGAGUUCUCUAUUGUCAUGAAGGAGGAGUUGGAAGAUGAGGAGUAAUACAACACGCCAGAUAUAUAUGUUAAAAACUUACAACAAAUCAUAGAUCACACUAAAGGAUUACUAAAGUUUUAAACAUGGCUGAGGGUAUAGAUGUCAGAUUUUCUUACACAAUAGUGGGUCUUUUGUUUCAGAGUUCACUCUUGGCCAGAAACUCCCUACCACUGUGUUAAUUUCCUGUCGAUCUUUCAUUCAGCAACAGAACUAGAGAUGGGGAGCAGACACCCCCCCACCCCCCCCACCCCCCAGGCUUUUUAAGACUGUGCUUUGUGUAGAUUAAAAAGAAGAAAGAAAAAAGAACAAACUUUUUCCAAACAAGAUGUCCAUGUGCAUUCUUUAAGAUCCUGUAUGUGUGCUUAAAAUGAUCCUUAAAAAAAGCUCUCUCCAUAAUUUUGAACCUCUCCUUUUUCUAAAGACUUUUAUAGUCAUUUUUUUUUCCUUCUCAGCAUGUGAACAAAUGUGUAACUCGAAUAGAUGUUACUUUGCUAUUUGCUUAGAUUGUUUUAAAAGGCUAGUUGUGUGGAGGAACGAAGAAGGAAGGGAGGCAGGAGUAGCUGGGGUUUAUUUGUUCUGUGUUGACCUAAUGAGUGCAGUUCUUAAAAAAUAAUAAAUAUUUAUAUGUGAUCUUAA